rnacentral:miRNA from 1 species
CAGAAGAUAGAGAGCACUGA